AGGGUUGCCAAUUUUGGUUGGAGGUAUUCCUGGGGGUUUCAUCACAUGACAUAAUCUUUAAUUAAAGAUUAAUCUUCAAUUCCUGGGGACUCCAGGAUAAUCCUGGAAGCUUGGCAACCCUAGGGUCAUAAGACAGCAUACUCCUGCCA